rnacentral:rRNA from 1 species
AUUGAACGCUGGCGGCAGGCCUAACACAUGCAAGUCGAGCGGCAGAAGGGAGCUUGCUCCCGGUUACGGCGGCGGAGGGGUGGGUAAGGCCUGGAAACAUGCCUGUCUGCGGGGUCUAGGGUCCGAAAACGGGGGAAAUUACGCCAAACGCCCUUAGGACGAACGGGGGGGAUCUUGGGACCUUCGGAUCUUAGGUGAGCCAAGGUCGGAUUAGCUAGUUGGCGGGGUAAAGGCCUACCAAGGCGACGAUCCGUAACUGGUCUGAGAGGAUGAUCAGUCACACUGGAACUGAGACACGGUCCAGACUCCUACGGGAGGCAGCAGUGGGGAAUAUUGGACAAUGGGCGAAAGCCUGAUCCAGCCAUGCCGCGUGUGUGAAGAAGGUCUUCGGAUUGUAAAGCACUUUAAGUUGGGAGGAAGGGCAGUAAGUUAAUACCUUGCUGUUUUGACGUUACCAACAGAAUAAGCACAGGCUAACUUCGUG